CACGAAUUCCCUCGCAAUCCCUCCGAAAAUUAAAUUCCCUUGGAAGAAUGAGUCCGUCACAUGCUGUGCUAAGGGUGCCGAAGAAGAAUUCCAAGAAACAUUUUGCCUAAGAAUAUGUGUUGGGUUUUGGAUAUACCAAUCUUUGAAUUCUAUCAAUAUGCAGCGGAGGAAAGAAUGAGAUGCGAACCCCAUCGCGAAGGGUUCGGAUCAGCUGCUGAUGU
rnacentral:lncRNA from 1 species